UUUCAAAACAUUGUCUUAUGAACAAAAUAUUAGAUAAUACCUGCCCAGUGACAAUAUGUUCAACGGCCGCGGUAUCCUAACCGUGCAAAGGUAGCAUAAUCACUUGCCUAUUAAUUGUAGGCUAGAAUGAAGGGGUUAACGAAAUAAAAACUGUCUCAAUUAAUUAACUAAAAAUUAUUUUCUAUCCGAAGAAAGGUAGAUAAUCUCGAAGGACAAGAAGACCCUAUAGAGCUUAAUUUUAAAUAUAGAAUUAUACUAUAUAAAUAUUCGGUUGGGGCGACCCAGGGCUAAUUAAUCACCUAUUAAAUAAAAGAUAUAUAAAUCUAAUAAUUGACCCUUUUAAGAUCAUAAAAACAAGCUACCUUAGGGAUAACAGGCUAAUCCCACUUAAGAGUCCUUAUCAAUAGUGGGGUUUGGCACCUCGAUGUUGGCUUAGGGUAUCUCUAUAGCGCAAAAGUUAUAUAAAGAUGGUUUGUUCAACCAAUAACUCCCUACGUGAUCUGUU
rnacentral:rRNA from 1 species